GAUCCCAUAAUUUAGCACAUGCACACAAAAAGGAAAAGGAAUGAUUUUAUAAAGGAGGUAAGGAUCAUUUUGGAUAUAAAAAUAAAGAGAGGGACCCAAAAUCUUUUCAUCACUUUACACCCUAUAUAUAUAUAUAUAUAUAUAUAUAAUAGAGGACCCAAUACCCUUGAAAAAACCUAGCCGCAAGACACAUUUUUAUAGACAUUAGCAAUACCUAGCCGCAGCAAAAAAAAAAAAAAAAAACCAUCUUUCUCUUCAUCCCUUUAGAAAAUAAUGAGAUAAGCCAUGAGAACACUAUAGUAUUUUCAUAUUUUUCUACGCUCUUUUGGCCAUUCUUCACUUUCUUUCUCCAACAAAACGCAGCACUGAGUUGGUGAUCCCGUUUCGAGGUUCGUUGUAGGUUCUGGUCUUGAGAAGCUCGCCAUUAGAGGGGUGAAUGAGAGGAGACCCCAAAAUGUUGGAAUUGAAAUACUGCGAGCAAGGUGACAAUGCCGAUUAUCGUGCGUCACCAAUGGUACAUAUAAUGACUUGGUUACGAGCGUAAUGGAGAGCGGGGAUUUAAAUUGUGAUCGCAUUAGUUAAAUGAUGUUAGUGCUGAUGGUUUUAGGUUUGUUUUUAAGAAUAAAUGCUGUUGAGAGGUCUCAAGAAGCUUCAACAUCAGAAACACCCCCCCCCCCCCCCCACCACCACCACAACCUCCAGUGGAUGACGAUUCAAUGCAACAUGAGGGCAUGGGGGAUCAUUUAAUGGAUAUGGAUGAUUUUGCUAGUGAUGACGAAGAGUGUGAUGGUGAUGUUGAGCAGCACAGUGGAUCACAAACCGACCACAGCUUCAAUGACGGAACAGAUUUUUAUCAUGGCCAAACAUUUGAUUAUGAUGGAUAUAAAUUAUUCAUGUAAUUUUGUAUAUAAAAAAUAAGAUUUAUAAAUAAAACAUGAAUAAUACUAUCAUAUUCCCGCAUAUCUUCUAACAAAUCUUGCAGGAAAAAGAAUACAAGAGAAAUAAAGGAAAGGAACAAAUUGCCAAAGAAAAGAGAACCACUUAUGCAUCUAUAACUCCGUAGACACAUCCGUGAAAAGUUACAAUGGCAUCUAUGGCAUCCACAGACGUGUCUGUCACCAUAAUGGCAUCUAUGGCAUCCACAGACGCGUCCGUCACCACAGUGGCAUCUAUGGCAUCCACAGACGCGUCCGUCACUACAGUCGCAUCUAUGGCAUCCAUAGACGCGUCCGUCACCACAGUCGCAUCUAUGGCAUCCACAGAAGCGUCUGUCACCACAGUCGCAUCUAUGGCAUCCACAGACGCAUCCGUCACCACAGUCGCAUCUAUGGCAUCCACAUACGCAUCCGUCACCACAGUCGCAUCUAUGGCAUCCACAGAUGCGUCUAUGGAGAAAAUGUCAGGCAUCCAUUUCUAUAAGUAGCAAGCUACUCUGAAGACAAAGGGCAUCCAAUUUUUAGCAAGAUACAAGAAAUAGUCUUUACUCUAUUUCUCUUCUUUUUAUUUUAUAUUUGUAGUAGUAGUAUUUUAUUUUUGAUUUCUUUCUUACAUACUCCUUAAUGGAGUAGUUUCUUUUUGUUGGGAUAGUUGAAGAAGCUUGGUAUGGCGUUAUAAUAUUGUCUUUACUUUAAUUUC